AAGUAUGGAGGAAUAACAAUCUAGCUUGGUGAUGGUGUACCUAUCUCCUGCCUAGCAUCUUUGAGGCCAUGGGUUCAACCUCUAGCACCAGAGGAGGAAGAGGAAGAUGAGGAGAAGGAGAUGAUGACCGACAACAACAGUAACCCAAACCACAAAGCAGCAAAACUUUAAGCCAGACCUGGUAGUGCACACCUGUAAUGUCAGCGCUGGACAAAUAAGAAACUGGAGGAGAAAGUUGACUGAGGACGGAAUCCACCCUGAAUGCAGACGGCACUGUUGUAUGACCUGAUCCUGGACUAUGAAGGAGAGAGUCGACACAUUCAUCUCUCUCUGCUUCUGGAGCUGUGUGUCCGGCUGCCUCACUCUCCUGCUGCAUUAGCCACGGCCACUUGCCACACCCUCUCUGCUGGUGAUGAAGUGUUCUCUGUGAGCCAGCUGCGUUUUUUGUCAGGCUGCCUUUAGCGAUUCUUAACAUAGACUAUGGCCAUUACAACAUCAAAGAGUCAUGCGCCAAAUGUUCUUCAACAGGAAACUGAGUAAGUAGAUCUCAAUCCAUGCAUAUAAUGCAGUUACUUGUGUUAGUUUAAAAGACAGAUGGCUCUGGGCAGAUCAA